AUAAGGCAGGCUGAGCACUUGAAAAGGCCGGGAGCGUGUGGCCAUGUCUGGGCAGAAUCCACCAGUCAAGCAAUGAAGACGACACACUGUAGCACUCAGCAGAAGAGGAAAGAUGGGAACAGAGAGGUGUGGGGAGGGUUUUCAUUUGUUGCUAGAUUGAGUUGGCUUUAGGCAGUGUUUUUUUUUCUUCUCUGAACUGGGGUAGACUUUACAUUAUGCUAAUUACAACAUCUGAGACUAUUUUAAAGUCUUUUCUCAUUCUUUAAUUGCCAAAGAAGUUGAGAUGGAAUGUCUUAAAAUUAUUUCAGAUUAAACAGGGGCAGCCAAUUUCAUAUCUGGGAUGUCAAAAUGUCUUUGAAUAUUUUUCAAUUCUUCUAUACGUAUAAUGGCACUAUAUAUAUAUAUUAUAUAUAGCUCCAUUUUGAUUCGGACCGAGACGCUUGGUGAUAUCUCUGUUUUACGAGACAGCAAAUGGAAGAUUUUACACCUCUGGCACUGGAAAUGGUGCUGUUAAAGGAAAUGGAGGUAUGAGCGUGUUCCUGGGUUUUCACCUGAGGUGUCAUAGCUUGUCUUUGAUCUACUGUAUAUCAGUCUCCUGUAUCCAGGAGUAUAAAGGGGGCAGUUUGUGGAUUUUAAGGUUUCCAUGUGCCAGAAUGAGAAACCUUCAGGUCUAUUUAAAUGUGAGAAGAUGUUUGAGUGCUAGAUGUGCUCGUCCUCUCCUGCUUGGCUGGCUAGCCUCCAUGUCCCUUGUCUAUGGACACUUGUCAAUGCAUCAAAAGGAAAAGAUAACUACAUACAGGUAAGCAGCGAGAAUGAUUUGCUGAACAUAUGAACAUUGCUGAACAUAAGCUCCGUUAGUCUGCCGUUCUCUCUGUCUGAAGCAGCACGCCUUGCUGUGGCUGGUCAAAUGGAACCAAGUCAGGUGUUUCUGUGAGGUUUGGUCCCCUUCAACCAGCUACUGCGUCGUGAAUACAGCCAACAUAGAGCAGACAUUACAAGAGAGUCAUUCAGUAGUCUGCUUCUUUGGAAUUUAAAAUGUACUAACCCUAAAAAAUGUAAAUUUUUUCAUUAGGAUUUUUAUUUCUCAUAAAAUUCAAUAAACUAUUUCCUUUUUCAA